AUUGGGUAAAAAAGGGGGUAAAAAUAAUCCCUCUGCAAACAUCAGGUGAAGGUGGGAAAUUGAGCUCACUUGCUCUCAGCAUCGUAGAUAUCAGUUACGAGGUAAAAGCCAUGGGCAAAAGCACCAGCCAAAACCGCCGUGAACAGCCGAUCCCUCACAACAGGGUUUUUCCGCAGCGCAAUUCUGAUGAGAGGAAGAGCAGGGGCAUAAACGAGAGGAACCAAGAACUUGAAUGGGGCUGAUUGCUUCUUGGGAACAGCCUCCCGAGAACUGGGAUCGACGUGUGCGGCCAUGGCGGCGUUGGAACCGGCGGCUGUCGAUGUGAUGGCAGGCGGCGGCUUUUGGAAAAACAACUUCAG
rnacentral:misc_RNA from 1 species